rnacentral:lncRNA from 1 species
CCGCUUAAAGCCGGGAACGGCGCGGCGGAGUUGCGGGAAGGGACUGACGGAGGGAGGUUAAUUAUAACAGAGAGAGUCGCUAUUUAUUUUUUGUAGUAGUGUCGUACGAAUGUACCGUGGUUUGAAAACGGUUGUUGCCUUUUUAUAUUAUUUAUGCCUUGAAAUUCCGUCUUUAUUUUUUUUCCCUCCUCCCCGUGCACCACGGAAUGUGUUUUUUUAUUUUAAAAAAAGGAGCAAUAAUAUAAAGAACGACGGGAACUACGUAGCGUGGUUUCCGUGGGGUGUCGCCGGUGUGAGGAGCGAGGCGGAAGCGGCUAACGCGCGGAUGGAGCCGAGCAAAUCCGAGCGGAGUGGACCGCCGUGGCGGUGUUUCUGGCGGGAGCACCGAGGGAUGAAACCCACCUCCUGCAGGAUGCGGGAGCAAUCCAGGGCGCUCAGGACCGUUUCCUUGGCUUCUCCCGGCACCGUUUGUAGAACCGGAGCGGCAAAUUGGCUUAAAACCACCUUUCUCGCUCGCGCCUUCGCCCCCCUCGUCCCCCGGCUGCACCGACGGGGACGAGCGGGAGGCGCCACCGAAAGAGCUGUUUGCCAGGCUGAGGGAAUAGGAGCCGCUGGAAUACCUGCCGUUGCCUCCGGAGCUGAAGGAGCCCUUGGGAAAGCGCUCCGGGUUCGACGCAACCCGCCGGCCUGGCAGGAACGGCGCCCGCCACGCGAUGGAGCUACGGGCAGGAGCGGCGCCGGUGGUGGGGAAGGGAGGAAGCGGAGCCGGCCUGGCCUCUCCCGGAGAUCCCGGGACCUUCGGAGAAAAACCGCUUUGCCGGCGGGCCGGCGCGGCACCGCAUAUGCAGCGAAAAAAAGGAAAAAAACCUCCGUGCUCCUCUGCAAACGCCGCUUGGCCGCGGCGCCCAGCCCCUCGCUUUGCGCCGUUCCCCGCAAGCAGCGACCUCAACGCACCGCGGUGGGCGUAGUGGAUGGAAACCCGCGCUGCCUUUUCCCCGGAAGCCAUCAAUAUUCCUUGGGAAAUGGGGCGUACGCGGCCCUCGCCCUCCGCCGCUUCCCGGCCCACGACUUCGUUCCGGCCCGAAUACAGGUGACAACUGCCCCGAAUGCAACGGGAAAUAAAUAUUUAUUUAAGCUUUGGG